CUUCGGUAAUGACGUUGGGGAAGCGAGCGGCGGAUGGGUGAGUAACGCGUGGGGAACCUGCCCCUAAGUCUGGGAUACCAUUUGGAAACAGGUGCUAAUACCGGAUAAUAAAGCAGAUCGCAUGAUCAGCUUUUGAAAGGCGGCGUAAGCUGUCGCUAAGGGAUGGCCCCGCGGUGCAUUAGCUAGUUGGUAAGGUAACGGCUUACCAAGGCGACGAUGCAUAGCCGAGUUGAGAGACUGAUCGGCCACAUUGGGACUGAGACACGGCCCAAACUCCUACGGGAGGCAGCAGUAGGGAAUCUUCCACAAUGGACGCAAGUCUGAUGGAGCAACGCCGCGUGAGUGAAGAAGGUUUUCGGAUCGUAAAGCUCUGUUGUUGGUGAAGAAGGAUAGAGGUAGUAACUGGCCUUUAUUUGACGGUAAUCAACCAGAAAGUCACGGCUAACUACGUGCCAGCAGCCGCGGUAAUACGUAGGUGGCAAGCGUUGUCCGGAUUUAUUGGGCGUAAAGCGAGCGCAGGCGGAAAAAUAAGUCUAAUGUGAAAGCCCUCGGCUUAACCGAGGAACUGCAUCGGAAACUGUUUUUCUUGAGUGCAGAAGAGGAGAGUGGAACUCCAUGUGUAGCGGUGGAAUGCGUAGAUAUAUGGAAGAACACCAGUGGCGAAGGCGGCUCUCUGGUCUGCAACUGACGCUGAGGCUCGAAAGCAUGGGUAGCGAACAGGAUUAGAUACCCUGGUAGUCCAUGCCGUAAACGAUGAGUGCUAAGUGUUGGGAGGUUUCCGCCUCUCAGUGCUGCAGCUAA
rnacentral:rRNA from 1 species